rnacentral:rRNA from 1 species
CUUACGGGAGGCAGCAGUAGGGAAUCUUCCGCAAUGGACGAAAGUCUGACGGAGCAACGCCGCGUGAGUGAUGAAGGUCUGUUCGGAUCUGUAAAGCUCUGUUGUUAGGGAAGAACAAGUGCUGGAGUAUACUGCCUGGUACCUUGACGGUACCUAACCAGAAAGCCACGGCUAACUACAUGCCAGCAGCCGCGGUAAU